GACGAACGCUGGCGGCGUGCCUAACACAUGCAAGUCGAGCGGGGAGAGGUUUGCGGAUUUCUCUUUAGCGGCGGACGGGUGAGUAACACGUGGGUAACCUGCCUCAAAGAGGGGGAUAGCCUUCCGAAAGGAAGAUUAACACCGCAUAAUAUCAGGAAGCUGCAUGGCAUUCUGAUUAAAGGAGCAAUCCGCUUUGAGAUGGACCCGCGGCGCAUUAGCUAGUUGGUGAGGUAACGGCCCACCAAGGCGACGAUGCGUAGCCGACCUGAGAGGGUGAUCGGCCACAGUGGAACUGAGACACGGUCCAGACUCCUACGGGAGGCAGCAGUGGGGAAUAUUGCACAAUGGGGGAAACCCUGAUGCAGCAACGCCGCGUGAGUGAUGAAGGCCUUCGGGUCGUAAAGCUCUUUGAUCAGGGACGAUAAUGACGGUACCUGAAAAACAAGCCACGGCUAACUACGUGCCAGCCGCCGCGGUAAUAC
rnacentral:rRNA from 1 species